AUUGAACGCUGGCGGCAGGCUUAACACAUGCAAGUCGAGCGGAGUGAUGGUGCUUGCACUAUCACUUAGCGGCGGACGGGUGAGUAAUGCUUAGGAAUCUGCCUAUUAGUGGGGGACAACAUCUCGAAAGGGAUGCUAAUACCGCAUACGUCCUACGAGAGAAAGCAGGGGAUCACUUGUGACCUUGCGCUAAUAGAUGAGCCUAAGUCGGAUUAGCUAGUUGGUGGGGUAAAGGCCUACCAAGGCGACGAUCUGUAGCGGGUCUGAGAGGAUGAUCAGCCACACUGGGACUGAGACACGGCCCAGACUCCUACGGGGGGCAGCAGUGGGGAAUAUUGGACAAUGGGGGGAACCCUGAUCCAGCCAUGCCGCGUGUGUGAAGAAGGCCUUAUGGUUGUAAAGCACUUUAAGCGAGGAGGAGGCUCUUUUGGUUAAUACCCAAGAUGAGUGGACGUUACUCGCAGAAUAAGCACCGGCUAACUCUGUGCCAGCCGCCGCCGUAA
rnacentral:rRNA from 1 species